GUACCCCGAGGAAAAGAAAUCAACCGAGAUUCCCCCAGUAGCGGCGAGCGAACGGGGAGGAGCCCAGAGCCUGAAUCAGUGUGUGUGUUAGUGGAAGCGUCUGGAAAGGCGCGCGAUACAGGGUGACAGCCCCGUACACAAAAAUGCACAUAUUGUGAGCUCGAUGAGUAGGGCGGGACACGUGGUAUCCUGUCUGAAUAUGGGGGGACCAUCCUCCAAGGCUAAAUACUCCUGACUGACCGAUAGUGAACCAGUACCGUGAGGGAAAGGCGAAAAGAACCCCGGCGAGGGGAGUGAAAAAGAACCUGAAACCGUGUACGUACAAGCAGUGGGAGCCUCUUAAUGGGGUGACUGCGUACCUUUUGUAUAAUGGGUCAGCGACUUAUAUUCUGUAGCAAGGUUAACCGAAUAGGGGAGCCGAAGGGAAACCGAGUCUUAACUGGGCGUUAAGUUGCAGGGUAUAGACCCGAAACCCGGUGAUCUAGCCAUGGGCAGGUUGAAGGUUGGGUAACACUAACUGGAGGACCGAACCGACUAAUGUUGAAAAAUUAGCGGAUGACUUGUGGCUGGGGGUGAAAGGCCAAUCAAACCGGGAGAUAGCUGGUUCUCCCCGAAAGCUAUUUAGGUAGCGCCUCGUGAAUUCAUCUCCGGGGGUAGAGCACUGUUUCGGCAAGGGGGUCAUCCCGACUUACCAACCCGAUGCAAACUGCGAAUACCGGAGAAUGUUAUCACGGGAGACACACGGCGGGUGCUAACGUCCGUCGUGAAGAGGGAAACAACCCAGACCGCCAGCUAAGGUCCCAAAGUCAUGGUUAAGUGGGAAACGAUGUGGGAAGGCCCAGACAGCCAGGAUGUUGGCUUAGAAGCAGCCAUCAUUUAAAGAAAGCGUAAUAGCUCACUGGUCGAGUCGGCCUGCGCGGAAGAUGUAACGGGGCUAAACCAUGCACCGAAGCUGCGGCAGCGACACUAUGUGUUGUUGGGUAGGGGAGCG
rnacentral:rRNA from 1 species